rnacentral:tRNA from 1 species
CGCGGGGUAGGGCAGAGGUCAGCCCGCCGGUGUCAUAAGCCGGAGAUCGGUGGUUCGAAUCCAUCCCCCGCUACCA